UAGGGGCGAUUACCAGUGCGGCAGACGCCUCUCUAUGACGUCAUAGGCUCCCUGCGGAAGAGCUGAACGCAGUGAUGCGCAUGCAUUUUGUGAGCCUGCUCAGCAUUUGCCUGCAUUUCGGAUUUGCGGGAUGUGAGUGUAAAGGGGAGCACCGCGGGACAAAUGUCUUCGCUAUGGUUGCGUGGAUUCCAGGCUGCACGCCCGGACGCCCGGAGAAACUGACAGGCUGUGCUGGCGUCAGUGUAUGCUGCACACAGAGACGCAAGUUGCGUGGUAUGCGCACACGUAAAAUGUUACCGUUUAUGUUUACAGUGCCUGCUAUAACACACAUACUGCAUUUUCCCCGCAUCGAUUUUCUUAAUAUUUUACAGUAUAACGUUUAGUGAUAUCUAAUAACUAAUCUGCCAUGCAUCAGCAUUUCUUUGACGUCUUUUUCAACAUCAGGAUGUUUCUUUGGAUCCCCAGCACAUGUUUCGGUUUGCUGUUGUUGAAUUAGCUUUAUAAAAUAGUUGAUGGUAUAUCAUUAUGGUCUGUUUGAAAAGAAGAAAAAAUCUAUCUCCUUAUUUCCUACAGUCUUUCCUUUGCUUUUUGAGCUAUUUAUACUCUGGUUCCCCUUGUAAGCGAAGCUUUGCAAUAUUUAAGCGUCUGAUUUAGGUUUGCAAAUGGUCAGGUGACCUAAAGACUUGGGGAAAGGGAAUACAAAUAAUUUAAAAUGUAUUAGCUACGUGUGCCAACUCUCCACGACAGUAAACAUGAACUGCAAGCAUGUACCCUGUUUUUGUAGGGGGGGGGUGUUUUUAUUUGUUUGUUUUUGUCUUUGAGACAAGGUCUCUGUGCAGUUCAGGUUGGCCUUGAGCUCACUUGGUAGUUUAGGCUGGUCUCAAACUGGCAGUGAUCCUCCUGCCUCCACCUCCUGAGUGUUGGGAUUACAGGCAUGAGCCACCACGCCUGUCUUUUUGUAUUUACUUAUAUUUGAAAUUAAUUUUAUUGGUUUUUGACAUCCAUAAUACCUGUACAUAAUAUAUCAAUUCUUUUUCUCCCUCAUCCCCCUUCCCUGCCUCCAACCUCUCUUCCCUCUCCCUUUGCAAAACUUUGUUUCUAAUGUUUUUUCCAUUCUUUUUUUAGUCCCGGGUCCUCCCUCCUUGCUCCCCUUCCCAUUUGAACAUCUUCUUCUUACUUCCCAAUAUCUAUCAUCCAUUUUGGUCCUCAUUUAUCCGUCAGGUUUCUCACACAAGAGAAAUAAUAUGCUACUCAAAUGUGGGUCUGAUUUAUUUCAUUUAAAAUUAUGUUCUGAAGGUACAGCUCUUUGUUUAUCCAUCAGUUGAGCAUCUGGGCUGUUUCCAAGAUUUAACUAUUACCCAUUUUGUGGUAUGAUGCUUCUUUUUUGGGAAGCUACCUAGAAGGGGAAUACCUCAGUCAAGUAGAACAUCCAAUUUUAGUUUUUUGAGGAAUCUCCAUACUGAUUUCCACAGUGGUUGCAACAGUCUGCUCUCCCACCAACAAUGGCCUCACCAGUAUUUGUGAUUUCUUGAUGAUAGCCAUUCUUUCUGGAGUGGGAUAGGAUCUCAAUUUUGUUUUAAUUUGCAUUGCUCAACUGGCCAGUGAUGUUGAACAUUUUUUCAUAUAUUUAUUUGCUGCUCAUACUUCACCUGAGGUGUCUCCUUAUUUCAAAUGCUCAUUUUUGGAUUGUGUCUUUAAAUUUGAAGGUAUUUGUGGUCCAGGAAGUUUAUAUUUGUAACCUAAUGGAAAAGUCAUUGGAAUUCCAGUCUACCACUUCCAGUACAGCCCCUGGCGAGAAUAAAGACACUAAGGCAUAUUUGUAGUUGUGGGGAGCCAAGGGAGCCCUAAACCCAGUAUUAGCCAGUAAGAUGGCUAAUAACUGCAAUAAAGUCCUUGACCUAGGGCCACAUUGAGGUUUUUAAUUCAUGAAGAGGGGCGUGACAGGAUGGGUGACUGUGAGAUGGGUGGGAAGUAUGUCAGUGUUUGAGCUGGACCAGGUCGAUGGCCUGAAAUCACUUCUGCAGUAUUCAAAAGAAGACUCUUCAUAAUGCAAUUGAAGGUCGUAUCUGAUGUUUUGUGGUCAGUGCUUCGACUCUGCUGUGUGAUCUCUUAUGCACUGGGAAGUCACAGCCUCUUAUCCCGAGGCUCCAUCCCAGCUGACGGUGACAACAGGGAGUGUGGAGAUAGUGUGGGGACAGCGGGAGCGUGGCUGUCUCACCUGCCCAUGUCACACACGCUUAUUGAGAACUACAGAGCAAUUAACACUGACUUGCUUCAAAGUCUACCCGUCAGCUAGACCCGUCUGCAUGUCUGCAUUGCUUAAAGCCAGUUGAGGGGAUAAGGAAAAGGCCUAGCCAGCUCUUUUACCUGUCAGUACACCGAAAUAAGGCCAGGUUUAGCCAAAACAGAGACAAUUGCUCUUUUAAGGAGAGUCAUCCAGGUGGUCCUCCACAUGACAUGACAUGACAUGACUUUUUUUGCAUGCUAUACAUUCUAAGAUAUUAGUCCUUUUUUUUGAGAAGUAGCUGAUAAUUCUUUCCCCAUUCUAUGGCUUGUUUCUUUUUUUUGUUUUGUACCGAGGAUGGAACUCAUGAGCAUGAGCUUCCAAGGCAGGCACUUACGCCUGCUGAGCUAAAUCCCCAGCCUAUGCCUUGUCUCUUAACUCUGUUUGUUAAGAUAAGAUCCAGGUUGUUGAUUCUUUGUAAUAUUUUUUGUGUGAUUAGCAUUUUGUUCAUACAAUGUUUGGUUAGACUUAUCUCUUCAAAAGUUGUAUCUAUUCGUAUUCCAGCAGAUUGUUUCUGCUUUAAUAAAUAGGUCUUUGAUCCAUCCUUAUUUUAGUUCAGUGCAUGUUGAGAGGUGGGUCUAGAUUUGAUCCUCAGCAUCACUGAAUUUUUUUAAUUUAAAAAGUGAAAGGAAAAGUUCUUAUUAAAAAGUAUAUACUAGGGGCUGGAGAUUUAGCUCAGUGGCAUAAGCGCCUGCCUUGCAAGCAGGCAGUCGUGAGUUCGAUCCCCGGUACUGAUAAAAAAGAAAAAGACAAAAAACAAAAAAAAAAAAAAAAAAAAAAGAAGUACAUACUAAUAAGUCAAGGGAUAGGCUAUCUGGGGCUUUAAAGUACUCCAGGAAUAACAAGUGAAUAGGGGCAGUAUAUCAGUCAGUGUUUUCUAGAGAAAUAUAUAACACAAGAUAUGCAAAUGUAUAAGAAAUUACAAAACUGGCUUACAGUAGUCAGCCACAGAGUCAGACAAGGGAGCGUGCAGAGGAUGUCUGUGUGCAGGAGGUCAAAGGGUCCAGCCAAGGGGUAGAGCUUACUGCAGUGUCCUUUUGCUCUUGUCACUCCACAACCUUGAGCUAAAUAAACCUUUGCUUCCUUUAUUUUGGGCGUCAGGUAUUUUGUUUCAGCAACAAGGGAAAAGCAACCAGCACAUGACAUCAUAUGCCCAACAGCUGUUGCUCCAUAUUCAUGGGAUUGGUGUUUGCAUAGGUGAGUCCUUCCUGCCUUUUAUCUAGAACCCAGGAUCUGGGACUGGAGCCCCCAGCCCGAGGGUAAUGCAGUUCUGCUGCCUGUGUUCCUCUCUCACUGGUGAAUCAAAGCCUUCCCUCUCUAAUUCUUGCUUGAAAAGUCUCUUCUCUGCCUUUGAAAAGUGACUGCCAUCUGUCCCCCACCUACAGUGCUCUGUCCUUCCCACCUUUCCCACCCACCACUUAGCUGCUAUCAGCUUUGCCACAGAAACCAUUUCCUUGUGCCUCGGCUCUCAUACCCUUGUCAAUCUCGGUCCUUUGCUAGUGACUCAUCUGAUUAAACUAAUGUGUAGGUAAGUAAUUUUCGACUGUAAAAGUCACUUUCUGCUUUAGACUCCAAACUAGUUCUCUUGUUAUAUUGUGGCCAGAUUUCAAUUCCUGUUCUGUGCUCUCCUUACAUCUGCUUACUCCACACCUUGAAUUUAACCUGUCUCCCCACAAUUCAUCUUCACCAUCCAGAUAGGCAAACAUUUCUAACUAUGAAAACAUGGUCUUCCUCACGGAUGUUAGCCAGGCAUUGUCGCAUGUUGCUGGUUGGGCAGAAACUGAUGCAAGGGAUUGAAACUCCCAACCUAUAUGUCCGCGACUUCGUGUUCUCUAAAAUCAAAGAAUGAAUUUUAGGAACAACGGAGGUUAAGACUAGAAUAUAUUUAUUGAGAGAAAGAAAGCUUCUGUCUGAGAGAGACAGAAGGGUUCCUAAGCAGGUUGCCCAAGAACUCUAUCUUUUCCAGGGACUUUUAUAGAGUAAAACCAUGGGUUCAAGGUGGGGGAACUGGAAACUCACAAGGCAGAUGGGCAUAAGGUAGGAGCAUAACUAUAGUUAGUCAAGAAGAUUAAUAGUUACAUUAGGGACAAAUGGGGAAGCCAGUCAUGGAGCAUUCUUAAAGUUGUGACGUUUCCCCUAGGGGGAUGGGAUGGUGACUCCAGGCUUCCUCAGUGCGAUAGGGAACUAAUUAGAAUAUCAGUCUUUAGGAUGUGGAUGCAUUUGAUAUGGGCCUGGCCCACCACAGGAGGUGUCUGUUUUCCCCACAGUUAUAAAGUAUCUGCACUGGCUCCACUGAGGACUUAGCCUUGUCUCACUGCCUAUAAUAUUUCUUUUUUUUGUCUUUUUCCUUUUUAUCGGUACCAGGGAUCGAACCCACGACUGCCCGCUUGCAAGGCAGGCGCUUAUGCCACUGAGCUAAAUCCCCAGCCCCCACUGCCUAUAAUCUUUCUAACUCGGCUGCCUGCAACAAAACCACAUGAAGGCAAUGUGUGAUGGACUUGAAAAUCCAUUCCGUCUCACACACUGAGGGCUUGUCAAUGUUCUAGAGAGACAGAGAAUUGGCUUUACUCAUUCAGAACCUGCCAAUUCCACUUCUAGGUUUUUACUUAUAUGUCUGCACACUCUUAAAAUGAUACUCAUACAUGCAGAAUUGUACACUUGAGCAAUAGCAAAAAAAUUGAGAAUAAAUGUUCUCAAUUUUUUUGUAAUAGCAAAAAAAUUGAGAAUAAAUGUUUUCUGUAGGGACCCAAGUGACAGCCCUCCCUGCCUCUCCUAUGGGCACUGCAUCUGCCUACAUUAACCAUAAUCCUCUCCUGCUUACGUCACGUAUCCGGAUGUGACGGUGAUGCUGUUGUAUUCAUCCCCUUAACCUCUUCCCGCCCUUAGCCUAUAAAAGGUGUGAUCAUUUCCUGAAUAAACUGGAGGCUUGAUCGGAUUAUCUCGACUUGCCUCUAUCUCUCUUUGUCUCCCCUAUGUCUUUUAUUUAAUCCCCAUUCCUCCUUCAGGAGUUCUCCAUUGAUUGAUCUGCAGGCCGGAUCAGUUUUCUAUGAUGGGACUGAAUAAAUAAAUUCUUGUAUAUACAACGAAAUGCCAUGCAUCUAGUGAUGGGUAAGUGCUUUGUGUUGACUUAACUAAGCCACAAUCAGUUAAGGCUAUUUCAAUCAGUUGAGUUUUGCAAUAGGAGGAGGAAAUCUGCUUCAUCACCGUAAUACAGGAACUUUGAGUUUCCAGGUUACUGUUGUGCUGUAGAAACUUUGGACUCGGAACUGCAAAAUCAACCUUAUUUCUGAAUUUCCAGCCUACUGACCUGCCGUGCAGACUGAGUCCUGCCAGACCUGCUUAGUCGUGUGACGUAGUUAUAUCAAAGGAAGGUAAACCGUGUUUGUCUGUCUCUGUGCCCCCAGCUGUGAUACACGGCUGUGAAAAAAUGAAUAUGAAUAUACUUUAUGUGGAAAGCUGCCCGAGAUACAUUUUUGAGUGAAAACCAUGUUUUAACUGUGUAUACAAUAAAAGAAAGUGAAGUAAGAA